AUUGAACGCUGGCGGCAGGCCUAACACAUGCAAGUCGAACGGUAACAGGAAGAAGCUUGCUUCUUUGCUGACGAGUGGCGGACGGGUGAGUAAUGUCUGGGCAACUGCCUGAUGGAGGGGGAUAACUACUGGAAACGGUAGCUAAUACCGCAUAACGUCGCAAGACCAAAGAGGGGGACCUUCGGGCCUCUUGCCAUCGGAUGUGCCCAGGUGGGAUUAGCUAGUAGGUGGGGUAACGGCUCACCUAGGCGACGAUCCCUAGCUGGUCUGAGAGGAUGACCAGCCACACUGGAACUGAGACACGGUCCAGACUCCUACGGGAGGCAGCAGUGGGGAAUAUUGCACAAUGGGCGCAAGCCUGAUGCAGCCAUGCCGCGUGUAUGAAGAAGGCCUUCGGGUUGUAAAGUACUUUCAGCGGGGAGGAAGGGAGUAAAGUUAAUACCUUGGCUGAUUGACGUUACCCGCAGAAGAAGCACCGGCUAACUCCGUG
rnacentral:rRNA from 1 species